rnacentral:lncRNA from 1 species
GUUUGUGACUGCUGAGGCAUGACAGGAACUCCCUGGACAAGCUGAUUUUAAAUAAGAAAAUGCCUCUCUUACUCUUUUUGAGUUAAAAUAUGGUUUAUUAUAUAAGAUCAGACCUGCAGAAAUAUUAUUUAUUAAAUAAUACUGCUAAUAGAGGGUAGGAGUUUUUUAAACAUGGAGUUCUUACUGUGGCGUAGUGGGUUAAGAAUCUAGCUUCAGUGGCUUGGGUCGCUGCACAGACAUGGGUUUGAUCCCCACCCCUGUGCAGUGGGUUAAGGAUCUGGCCAUUGCCACAGCUGUGGCUUGGAUUCACUUCCUGGCUUGGGAACUUCCAUAUGGCGCUGGUCAGGCCAUAAGUUUAAAAAAAAAAAUUAACUCCUCCAGGAAAUCCUACACCUGUGUGCACCUCUGCUCUAGAAGCUUGGUUAUUCCCUCCCACCCUAGGACAUAUUGGAAGGAAUAUGGUCAAAAGAAUGGCAACUGGAAGUCUGUGGCAGUUAGUGGAAAGUGAGGAGGUUGGCCAAGAGGAAACUAGGCAAGUGCCAGGGAUAAAGGGUACAGACAGGUGAUACCUUCCUAUGUGUUCAGCCAUACAGGCUCUCAUGGAUGCAGAGGCCCAGAAGCAGGUGUCAAGACAUGAAAAUAGGUCAAAACCAAGAGCAAAUGUUGAACGUCAGUAGAAGGGAGCCUGUGUGCACAUGAAGUCUUUAGAGAAUUCAGGCAGAGGCCCAGUUGUUUUCCAACUGGCUUUUAUUCCUGCUCUCUCCUCAGAGAGCUUUAAAUGCACCAAGCUGCAACCUCAGAGAGAUUUUCAUAGAAGAAGAAAGAUAUUUUCUAGUUAAUCUGGUGAAUUUAUAAAACCAAGAAGGAUCAGGAUGAAUAUGGAGCAAUUCUUUGAAAACUAGAGCCACAGUCUCUCAGUCUAGUCAUUGAAAGUAGCCUAACUUAACAAAUAGUCCUCACCGAGGAGGGAUAGUCUGGGAAUACAGAUCAGUACGAAACCUGGUAUUUCCAUGAAAUUGCAGAUGUUUGUCAGAAUGUUCUCUACCUUUGGAAAAGUAGAGAUUUUAUUUUUCUCAUUGUUGCUCUCUCUCUCUCUCCCUCUUUUUUUUUUUUUUUUCUUUAGUUGGAGAUAGUUUGGGAUCAGAUGACUCGAGCAUAAGUUUUGGCUUUUUCAUAUAUUUUGGUAGCUGUAUAACUUUAAGGAGGUCACUGUAUUCCCUGAGGCCUUGUUUUCCUCAUCUAUAUAAAAAAGGAGUUAAAUUUUAUUAGAUUUUCUUGAAUUCAAAAAUGUUAUGAUUUAUUAUGAUUUUUAUGAUGACCUGGAGGGAACAUAUACAUGUUCCUAUGAAGCACUUCUUUUUGCCUCCUUUCAAGUUCAGAAAAAUGCCCUGGAUCAGAGCUGCAUUAGAGAAAUUUCCAUCUUCAGUCGGGAAAUGUUUGCUGUGCAAUUUCUUAUAUUACUAAGUAAUUUGGGCCUAUUAGAGGGCCAUUGAAUUUCUUUGGGUCUUAAUCUUCUACAUCUAUAAGACAUUAUGUUUUUAUUCCUGUAUCAUAAUCUUGAUGUUCUCAGGAUGAAAAGCAAUAACCAUUUGUUUUAUUUUUUUAACAAAUAAAUAGAUAUAGGGAUGCUGUGAGGUAAGAGUCCUGUAGCAGGCUAUACAAAACAGUACCACUCUCUACUACCCACCAUGGGUAGGUGGGUAAAAAAAAAAAUCUCUUUUAUUCCAUGGACCAAAGCAUCUGAAAUCACACUACUUAGUCUUUGCUUUAGGAAUUUCCUAUCUCUCUGGGCUGCCCUUUAACAAGUUAUGGCUUGAUGCUUUUGUUUUUCUCCCUUUGCUGGUCAGGGUGGUCGUUGUCAUGCCUGUAUCCAUCACAUGUGCAGGGCUUACUUCCAAAGUGCUCCUAUUCUCCAGCAUGUCCUACCAACACUGUCCUGAGCAGGGAGGCUAUGUCCAGCUGACCCAGAAACCCAGCUCCCAGAUCAUGGAAAUUUUCUACUGAAAAGUCUCAAAAGUUCCAAGGGCCAUAAAAGUUUUGAAUAAAAACACUCUCAAAAGAGGCAGUUCAGGGAGUAGCUAUUUCUUUGAUUUGAUGCAGAAGCUAUCACUAACAUUUGACUAGGUCUGUUCCUGUUGCUAUGUGAAUGCAAUAAAGCUCACCAAAUCAUGAUUGUAUAGUUUUUGCCUACCUUGAGUUGAUACCUUAGAAAGGAUAGAAUUCUCAGCACUUACUUUAUAUCUCAUUGCUGUUUUUUCUGUUUGUUUUGUUUUGUUUUUUAAGGAAGUAUCUAUUUUAAGAAUAUAUUUUCUCAACUUAAGUCUUUUUCUUGGUGAUAAGAUGGAGGUAGAAAAAAUAGUUACACUUGAACAUAAUAUCUUAUUUCCUAGAGGCAGCUGGUUGCCAAUUAAGCAGGAAUAGUAUAAAAUAGCAGGUGGAUAUUUACCCACAAACAACAGAAACCAAAGAGACAGAGAAGGGCCUCAGGAAAGAAGUUGUUAUUGUCAAUAAGAGAAUGAUUAGUGACUUAGGUUGUCUUCAUGCAAUGAUUUUUAUCCCCAUAGUUAGCUGAAAAUCCUAACCUGUCCUUUUCCAACUCUUCUAUAUUUAAAGUAAAUCUACUCAUAUCUCCACUUAUACUUGCACUUACUUUGAAGGCUGGGGAAUAGCUUGUGGGUUGGAACAUCUCCGAUGUUUACAUCCUUCAUUGGUCCUGCAUUACCCCCUCUCUGAGCCUCCUUUGACUCUCCAGGCAGAGUCUGUCGUUUCCUCUCAUUGCUCCCUCACUCUGUGCUUAUUUCUAUCAUGACACGGAUCAUAACAUGUCAUAAUUAUUUGUUUAACAUAUCUAUUUCCCUGCCUAUUAGCUCUUCAGAGGCAGAGGAUGUGGCAAAUGGAAGUUCUCAACGUUGAACAAAUGAAUCAAUACAUGAAUGAGUGAAUGAUGAAAGAGAGAGCUAUCUUAUCAACAGCUCCCUUUCUGAGCCAUUUUCAGUCACCAUGGAGACUCCUAAAAUUUGGAGGUAGGGUAAUCACCUCAGUUUAGCACAGUCAAAGGACUGCUCUGUCCUGUGAUCUACAGUGAGGCUUUAGUUGCAAGUCCUAAGUAUGUUCUUACAGCUUUUUCACAAGGAAUGGGAGGAUGAAUUUCCCCUUUCACUUAGCAGUCCUUGCAGCAUGGCCAGCUGGCUUGUCACAACUGCAGUCUUCAGCAAGUCUUGGCCACAUCUGCAUUGUGACUUUGAAGCUGCUGACCCUAAACUCCAUAUCCCAAGGAGACCUUGAGCUGUUGGGCCAUGGAGGAAGGAAGUGGCUUUGGGAGAAAAAAACAUCUUUUCCAGUUUGUUCAAAAGAAGUUUGAGGCUCAUAACUGACAUUGUACCUAACAACUAACAAACAAUUAUUAAAUAUUUUAGAAUGAGUGAUUGAAUGAAUCCCAAUGCCAGAUCACUGACCUCAUGCUACACCAAAGCAAAUUCAUUCUUUACCAUGGAGCACUCACAUCGUGUUGCCUUUUGCUGACUUCUUUUCUGACUUUACCAUAUAAUUUCCCCUGGGGUUUCUCCUGGAGUCUACUUCUGGGUGGGCAAAUUGUAGAGAGCGGGUUACUUUAAGGCCUCUGGAUGGGCUGAGAAAGUGAGUGAUGUCAAGAGAUGCUAGGUUUUGUCUGGUGUCUCACUUAGAUAAGGAUACUGUGCAGGUCAGUAGGGAUGCAGUGAGAAUAGCACCAACAUGAGGUAGGCUUAGCCUGGAUCCCCUAAUUGUUUUAGACUUUCAAAUAGCUUUUCUUCUGAGAGUUCUAUUUUCUGCAUAAAAUUCCUCCUCAAAUCUGAGUGUCCUCUAGUUGUUUUUAACCCAAGGUUUAGGAGUUUUUAUGAAAUUUGCCUUAGGACAAAUAACUGUGCAGAUUUUCUUAUAAGGUUGACUUUGUUGGUUGAUUGGCUAAUUUAUUGAGAGUCUGUGUACAAGUCACUAGUCAGGAAAUGGGAUGCAGAGAAGGGCUUGGAUGUAGACUCAGCCCUCAAGGACCUUAUUGUUUAGUCAGCAGUUAAGGCAUACAUGUAAGUCGUCAUUUUAUAAGACAGGUCAUAGUAAAGUGGGAAGGGCUCUCUGCUGGGACCAACAGGGAUGGGCCAUGAAAGAUGUGGGCCUUGAAGGAUGGAUGAAAAUGGUGGGCAGGAUGUUGCAUGACAAAGUGUGAAAACACUUAUGUGUCUUUUCCUGUGUCUUGAGUAUAAUAUGAUUGACCAGAGGGAAGAGAGAGAGAGAUAGAGACAGACAGAGAAUAUGAAUCAGUCCUAGGUGCACGAAACCAGAACCACGGGAUUAAGUCACCUCAAAGCCCAUCUGACUUUUGUUCUCCCAGUUGUAUGAGAAAAUGCUUCCUUCUGUUUAGGCCAGUUUGAACUGGGAUUUCUGUUAGUUGCUACAGAAAUUAUCCUGAUGAUAAAAUUUUAUUGAAAAGAGUUUGGAGCCAGACCGUUGAGGAAUUUAGACAAUAUUUCAAAGCAAUGUGGAACUCUUUAAGCUUUUUCAGCUGAGGAAUGAGGUAAUUAAAACUUUAAGAAGAUUAAUCUGGCAGAUGUAUGUAGAAUGGUUUAGAGGAGGGAAGAGAAUAUCCAGAAAGAGGUGGUAUACUCCCUACAGUAAAAGUCUCCACAUGCGGAAUUACAGUGUUUAGGGAACUAGCGUUGAUCUUAAUUCAAGUGAAAUGUUGCAUAUUAAAAUGUAAAAUGAAUCUCUGUACAGCUAAGGAAAAACCCUAGAUUAGAGAACUCCCAUUUGGCCCUUGCAUUGAUUUGCACAGUGUAGUUGUGGUUUGCCUUUUUCUAUUCAGAUCUGUUUAUUCUUAGUUGCCCUAUACAAGAAAGAGAGGGUGGUUUAUGCUGUGGGCUCCUCUCUGUAAUAGGCAUUCUUUCUUCAUCCGGCAGUUUUGGAUUUCCAGAGGUUUCUAGAUUGCCCUUCAAUGCCAGUGGUAUUCAUCAAUGAACAUUCAGAAAAGUUUUGAAAACAACAAACAGUAAGUCAAGGAGUAUCUGGCACCUGGGACCAAAUUCUGCUUGAAAAAGAUUACUUCAUUCCUUAAGGUUCAGUUUGCCAACUGUAAAAUUGAGAUGGUAUAAUAUCCACUUGGAGGGUUGUUAUGAAGAUUAAUGACAUAAGCAAACAUAUAGUAAAUGCCAAUGAUUUAGUUGUGUUUAUGUUUGCCACUUGUUUUAAUUACCAAGAGGCUUGGAAUGGGAGAGUAAAACCUCUGUUCCCUUAGGAAGCUUGAGGCCUACUAGCUUGUCUAGAUUGGUGAUUUUAGAUACCAGUUUAGUAGGCACUAAGAAAAUAGUUCAUAUAUGAUUCUGAAAGGGCAAACAAAAGAAAUGGGCAAUAAUAAAGACACUUUUUGGGAUAUUUAAAAUACAAAGGGCUUUGAUCUUUAAUUUUUGUUGACUUACAGAUGUGAUUUGAACAAAAAAGAUUAUUGAGAUAAAAAAAAGAAUUGAACCAAUGAACUGGAAUGGGGAAAUUAUGGCUUUUGAAGAGUGACAAUUCAAAAGAGAAACGUUGAAUGUUGAUAAUAUCUGUAAACACUCUGUGGUUGUGUGCUGAAAACUGGUAUGCUAUGUUCCCCUGUAUUUGUUUUAAUCUAAUUUUCACCUAACAAAGUUGUAAAAGUAGUAGUUUCUAUUCAAACGUAAGAAAGAAAUACAGGACCGAGGCCCUUCCUGCUUGAACUGUCUUAGGGACUUUCCCAUAAUGCCUAUAAUCCCAAAUGAUACAUUGUGAAUAUCUUUCUGCAGCAAUAUAUAUGUUUCCACAACAUUUUAAAGGAUAGCUUAAUAUUCAUUAUAUGGAUAUGUCAUAAUUUGUUUAAUGCAUCAUUUAUUAUUAGACAAUUUCAUUGCAUUUUAGCUUUCCCCUUUUACAUACAAUGAUGUGAUGACCAUCUUUAUACCAUCAUUUUUAUGUACCUUGCUGGGUGUGCUGGUGCUGAGCAUUUUCUUACUUGGCUCAUUUUAUCCUCAGGACAGCCAGUGUGAUGGCUAUUACUAUUAUCUCCAUUUCACAUACCAGGUGUUGAAGUUCUCAUUCAGUAAUUUGUAAUUUUUAUUUAGCUCAUCAGUGGAAUCAGGACCUGAAACCAGAUUCUAUUGACGUCCUGAUUGGCUCUUAACUGCCACACUGUAUUGAUCUUUUAAAUUACUGCCUUCAGCAAAUUUCUAGACCUGGACUUUCUGGUUAAGCAGAGAUGCACAUUUUAAAGAGUUUUGAUACAUAGUAGCUAAUUGCCUUCCAGAAAAGUAUUUACAUUCUGCUCCCAGUGCAGGGGCGUGGAGCUCAUUUCCCUGCCCCAAUCAAUACUGGCUUUUAUAG